GAUGAACGCUAGCUACAGGCUUAACACAUGCAAGUCGCGGGGCAGCAUGGGGGUUGCUUGCAAUCCCCGAUGGCGACCGGCGCACGGGUGAGUAACGCGUAUCCAACCUGCCCUUCACCACGGGAUAACCCGGCGAAAGUCGGACUAAUACCGUAUGUUGUCCAUUGACGGCAUCCGAUUUGGACGAAAGGUUUGGCGGUGAAGGAUGGGGAUGCGUCCGAUUAGCUGGACGGCGGGGUGACGGCCCACCGUGGCGGCGAUCGGUAGGGGUUCUGAGAGGAAGGUCCCCCACACUGGAACUGAGACACGGUCCAGACUCCUACGGGAGGCAGCAGUGAGGAAUAUUGGUCAAUGGGCGUAAGCCUGAACCAGCCAAGUAGCGUGCAGGAGGACGGCCCUAUGGGUUGUAAACUGCUUUUAUGCGGGGAUAAAGUGGCCCACGUGUGGGUUUUUGCAGGUACCGCAUGAAUAAGGACCGGCUAAUUCCGUG
rnacentral:rRNA from 1 species